rnacentral:rRNA from 1 species
UACGUAGGGUGCGAGCGUUGUCCGGAAUUAUUGGGCGUAAAGAGCUCGUAGGCGGUGUGUCACGUCGGCCGUGAAAACCUGCAGCUUAACUGUGGGCGUGCGGUCGAUACGGGCAUCACUGGAGUUCGGCAGGGGAGACUGGAAUUCCUGGUGUAGCGGUGAAAUGCGCAGAUAUCAGGAGGAACACCGGUGGCGAAGGCGGGGUCUCUGGGGCCGAUACUGACGCUGAGGAGCGAAAGCGUGGGGAGCAAACAGG